rnacentral:rRNA from 1 species
GACGAACGCUGGCGGCGUGCUUAACACAUGCAAGUCGAACGGAGUGGCGAACGGGUGUGUAACACGUGGGUGACCUUCCCUGCACUUCGGGAUAAGCCUGGGAAACUGGGUCUAAUACCGGAUAGUGUGGGAUGGGCCCGCGGCCAAUGAGCUUGUGGGUGGGGUAAUGGCCUACGAAGGCGGCGACGGGUAGCCGGCCGGGGAGGGUGGACGGCCUCAAGGGGCCUGAGACACGGCGCAGACUCGAAUGGGGGGCAGUGGUCGAGAAUAUUGCACAACGGGGGGACGUGUGAUGCAGCGAUGCCGCGUGGGGGAUGACGGCUUUCGGGUUGUAAACUCCAUUAACCAUAGACGCGGUAGAUGGAGAAGAAGCACCGGCUAACUACGUGCCAGCAGCCGCGGUAAUAC